UACGUAGGGCGCAAGCGUUGUUCGGAAUUACUGGGCGUAAAGCGCGCGCAGGCGGUCUUCCAAGUCAGUGGUGAAAGCCCGGAGCUCAACUCCGGAACUGCCAUUGAAACUGUAAGACUUGAGGACGAGAGAGGUGAGUGGAAUUCCCAGUGUAGAGGUGAAAUUCGUAGAUAUUGGGAAGAACACCAGUGGCGAAGGCGGCUCACUGGCUCGUAUCUGACGCUCAGGCGCGACAGCGUGGGGAGCAAACAGG
rnacentral:rRNA from 1 species